GUUGUGUGCUUCUGUGUGUGCAUAGUACACUUAUGGGGGAAGGGGUUAGGAAUAGGAGCAGUCAAUCUCCCUAACCUCAAGGUUAAGCUGAGCCAUGCAGUUAUGAGAAUUAACCAACCACCUACCUCUGAGUCUUUAGGAACUUCCCUGUGUCACAAAAUCUUGUAAAUUUUGUUAAUAACCACCAGGUGAAUGAAAUAAUUUUUAUGCUUUAUUGUAAAUAACAGGUCAGUGUGAAGCGAGACCAGUGCGACCUCAUGACUCGUCGCUGUCUGCUCCCCUGCACAAGCAGUAUAUGUUUGUUACUCCAUCUCUUUUGUCAGCCAUCUGCAGCCUUUUAGACAACCUCUUGGCUGUUACUCCAAGAGAUGCUGCAAAUGCAUUGCAACAAGCCCAUCUCAUAGAGCUUCUGUGUAGUACUGUGGAUGCCUCUGUCAUAGAGAUGUGUAUCCAGGAACUCAAGACCCCGCCACCAUUCUCAUCUGCUGUUGAGCAUAUUCUAGCUCAGGCUUCCUUUCUCUUGGAGUACCUGUCCUCUUUGUCCCAGCUUUUGCAGUCCUGUCUGUUGGUAGAUCCUAACCUUGUGACACAGGAGGAGCUCCUGAAACCUCUUAUCACCAAUGUCAUCCGAGUUCUCAUUGUUUGCACCAAAGAUGUAUUAGAUGCACAGUUAGUAUCGGCUUUUCAUCGCACAUGGACGCAUUUAUUUGACCUUCUGGCCACAUUCCUGAGGAAAGUUGGUGUUGUUUCCUUGCUUCUUAUUACCUCAACUGUUGCCAAGCACUGGGAGGCAGUGAUUGAUACAUUGUGCAGAUGUGUAGGUUUGUCAGUCAGGUGUCCUGCCCUGAGUAUUGCCAGCCUCCAGUUCCUGUCUGUCCUUUUGGCGGAGGAAGAAAAGAGGCGUCUCCAGGACAAGGACAGAGCAAAUGCAUGCCAGGUCCCAACAUUGGCUUCACUUCUUGAUGGAGCUCAGGAAAGUCAUAAAUCUUCAGAGCGACUUAAUGAAACAAUUCUUCAGUGCUAUGAAGGAAAAUCCCCCAAAGAUUUCUUGAAAAGAGUUGCUGCAAAUGCAUUGAUGUCACUUCUGGCUGUCAGCAGAAGAGCGCAGACGCAUGCUUUGAGAGCUGACCUCAUAGAGAACUGCAUGGAGCGGAUGAAGCAUAUCACCGCACAACUGAACCUGGAUGUGCUGAGGCCUGGGAAGGCAACACUGAAAAAAAAGGAGGAUGGCUUUAUUAAAGAGCUAAGCAUUAUCAUGCAGCUUCUAAGGAAUUGUCUUUAUCAAAAUGAAGAAUGUAAAGUGGCAGCUCUUGAAGCACGUCUUGUGCCCAUUCUGCACUCUCUUUGGCCUUGGCUUUUGAUGGAGGAUUCACUGAUGCAAAUUGCUUUGCAGUUGCUUUGUGUCUAUACUGCUAAUUUUCCAACUGGCUGCAGUUCUCUUUGUUGGUCAAAUUAUGGACAAUCUGUUCAAACUGCCCACAGGGGCACUCCCAGCAGCUCCCUGAUACUGUGUAUCCUGAAGCUUGCUUCUCAGAUGCCUGCAGAGAACACCACCAUUCAGCAGAUGGUUUUUAUGUUUCUUUCAAACCUGGCCUUAUCUCAUGACUGCAAGGGAGUAAUUCAGAAGAGCAACUUCCUACAGCACUUCCUGUCCCUGACAUUGCCUAAAGGAGGAAAUAAACAUCUCAGCAAUCUGGCCAUUCUGUGGUUGAAGUUACUCCUAAACAUAUCAUUUGCAGAAGAUGGACAGCAAAUGAUCCUGAGGCUGGAUGGCUGCUUAGACUUACUCACAGAGAUGAGCAAAUACAAGCAUAAGAGCAGCCCUUACAUACCUCUGCUGAUUGUUCAUAACAUUUGCUUCAGUCCUGCUAAUAAGCCCAAAAUCCUGGCUAAUGAAAAAAUUGUUACCCUUCUGGCUACCUGUUUAGAAAGUGAGAAUCAAAAUGCCCAGAGGAUUGGAGCUGCUUCACUUUGGGCUCUUAUUUACAAUUAUCAAAAGGCAAAAGCAACUUUGAAAAAUCCAUCAAUAAAAAGAAGAGUAGAUGAAGCAUAUUCCAUAGCAAAGAGAAGUAAGUUCCAAGAGAGUACAAUUAAAUUUGAUGAGUCCUAACUGAAAUUUUUGGUUUCUGAAAUACUUGAACAGGCCAUUGCAAAAUG
ensembl:lincRNA